rnacentral:rRNA from 1 species
AUUGAACGCUGGCGGCAUGCCUUACACAUGCAAGUCGAACGGUAACAGGCCUUUCGGGAUGCUGACGAGUGGCGAACGGGUGAGUAAUACAUCGGAACGUGCUUAGUAGUGGGGGAUAACUACUCGAAAGAGUGGCUAAUACCGCAUGAGAUCUAUGGAUGAAAGCAGGGGACCUUCGGGCCUUGUGCUACUAGAGCGGCGGAUGGCAGAUUAGGUAGUUGGUGGGAUAAAAGCUUACCAAGCCUGCGAUCUGUAGCUGGUCUGAGAGGACGAUCAGCCACACUGGGACUGAGACACGGCCCAGACUCCUACGGGAGGCAGCAGUGGGGAAUUUGGACAAUGGGGGAAACCCUGAUCCAGCAAUGCCGCGUGCAGGAUGAAGGCCUUCGGGUUGUAAACUGCUUUUGUACGGAACGAAAAGUCUUGGGUUAAUACCCUGGGAUCAUGACGGUACCGUAAGAAUAAGCACCGGCUAACUACGUGCCAGCCGCCGCGGUAAUAC